rnacentral:rRNA from 1 species
GGCCUCUCCCGACACAAAACCCCGGCGCCUCAGGCGCCAAGGAACUGAAACGAAGCAAGGCAGCACGCUGGCGGCCCGGGAACGGAGCCGGUCGCCCAGCGUUGCGUCUAAUGCCAUUUGCAUCCGAAACGACUUCGGCAACGGAUAUCUCGGCUCUCGCAUCGAUGAAGAACGUAGCGAAAUGCGAUACUUGGUGUGAAUUGCAGAAUCCCGUGAACCAUCGAGUCUUUGAACGCAAGUUGCGCCCGAAGCCACUAGGCCGAGGGCACGUCUGCCUGGGUGUCACGCAACGUCGCCAGCGCCCAAAAUCCUAUGGGCGCGGCGGAUGAUGGCCUCCCGGGAGCCUCGCCUCCCGGCUGGCCGAAAAAGGGUCCCAGCGUGACGGCUGCCACGAUCCACGGUGGUUGAGUGAACAUUCGCUCGAGGCCAAGACGUGCGCGUGCCGUCCCACGUCAAAGGGUCCUCCGGAUAGGGCGUGCGGCAGCAGAGCCCUCCUCUCGUACGCGACCCCAGGUCAGGCGGGGCUACCCGCUGAGUUUAAGCAUUCAAU